AUUCAGGCCUAGUGUAUCUAGGACUACUUAUCUAAUGUAUAGUACAGGAGUUUGUAGCUAUAGUUGUUUCUUAGCCCUAGGUUUGUCCUGAUCCAGACAGGACUAUGACCAAAGAUGUUCCAGCUGUGACCAUCCCUUCUUUUAUUCAGGCAUAGUGUAUCUAGGACUACAUUAUCUAAUGUGUCAGUAGCUAUAGUUGUUGCUUAGCCCUAGGUCAGUCCUGAUCCAGACAGGCCUAUGAUCUAAGAUGUUCCAGCUGUGACCAUCCCAUCUUUUAUUCAGGCCUAGUGUAUCUAGGACUACAUUAUCUAAUGUAUGGUACAGGAGUUAGUAGCUAUAGUUGUUGCUUAGC